CACGUAGGGCGCAAGCGUUGUCCGGAAUUAUUGGGCGUAAAGAGCUCGUAGGCGGUCUGUCGCGUCUGCUGUGAAAACUCGGGGCUUAACCCCGGGCCUGCAGUGGGUACGGGCAGACUAGAGUGCGGUAGGGGAGACUGGAAUUCCUGGUGUAGCGGUGAAAUGCGCAGAUAUCAGGAGGAACACCGGUGGCGAAGGCGGGUCUCUGGGCCGAUACUGACGCUGAGGAGCGAAAGCGUGGGGAGCGAACAGG
rnacentral:rRNA from 1 species